GAAACAUGUAGUAAGUGCCAGCACUACACGCCAAUGAAGACAAAGGCCCCAGAGAUGCGUCCCAUAAAGGUGAAGGAGCCGUUGGAACUUAUAGGAGUCGACUUGGUCGGUGGGGCAAGCCUGCAAGGAUCCUGACUGAUCACGGACGUGAGUUUUGUUCCUCGAUCAACGACGAACUCUGCAAGUUCUACGGGAUCCGGAGGAGUAUCACGUCUGCCUACCAUCCGCAGACUAAUGGACUGGCAGAGAGAAUUAACCAGACUCUGGAGACCAGGCUUUCCAAGCUCUGCAACGCGACCAAGACCGACUGGCCAAACUUCCUGGAUGAAGUCGCCUAUAGCAUCCGCACCCAAAAGCAGCGGACCACCGGGUUCACACCUUUCCGGUUGAUGUUUGCUCGUGAGCACCG